GACGAACGCUGGCGGCGUGCCUAAUACAUGCAAGCCGAGCGGACAGAAGGGAGCUUGCUCCCGGAAGUUAGCGGCGGACGGGUGAGUAACACGUGGGCAACCUACCCUGUAGAUCGGGAUAACAUCGAGAAAUCGGUGCUAAUACCGGAUAAUCAUUUGAAGUGCAUGCUUCGAAUGUAAAAGAUGGCUCCGGCUAUCACUACGGGAUGGGCCCGCGGCGCAUUAGCUAGUUGGUAAGGUAAUGGCUUACCAAGGCAACGAUGCGUAGCCGACCUGAGAGGGUGAUCGGCCACACGGGGACUGCGACACGGCCCAGACUCCUACGGGAGGCAGCAGGAGGGAAUCUUCCGCAAUGGACGAAAGUCUGACGGAGCAACGCCGCGUGAGUGAUGAAGGUUUUCGGAUCGUAAAGCUCUGUUGUUAGGGAAGAGCAAGUGCCGUUUGAAUAAGGCGGCACCUUGACGGUACCUAACCAGAAAGCCACGGCUAACUACGUGCCAGCCGCCGCGGUAACAC
rnacentral:rRNA from 1 species